rnacentral:lncRNA from 1 species
AGUCUGGGUGGACAGCUUCGCCGGAGCUGAGAGCCCGCGACCUGCCGGACCAGGGCUGGGCCGCGGGUCAAUGAUCCAGGAAAUCCCGUCACUCGCGUGCCUGUGGCUGAAGCGCGGCAGCUUGUCUUGUCCGUUUCGUGUCAGUUUCAGGGCUGAGUGGCAGCGUCUGGACUUUGCGGACGCCGAGGGCUCAGAUGCUGGGCUCUGGGGAGGGAGAGGGCGCCGGCCGGCCUGUCCCUCUCCGGGGAUUUGCAGGUACCACCUGUCGGCUUUGUUUCAUCAUCAGGAGCCCCUUUGCCCAGAAAUCCCGAUCGUCUACACCCAGGUCUCUACUGAUCAGAGAUUGAGAGGAGAAGAUUUCGUCUGAGGACGUAGGCC